rnacentral:rRNA from 1 species
GUGAGGAAUCUUCCACAAUGGGCGAAAGCCUGAUGGAGCAACGCCGCGUGAAGGAUGAAGGUCUUCGGAUUGUAAACUUCUUUUAUGAGUGAAGAAUAUGACGGUAACUCAUGAAUAAGCACCGGCUAACUACGUGCCAGCAGCCGCGGUCAUACGUAGGGUGCAAGCAUUAUCCGGAGUGACUGGGCGUAAAGAGUUGCGUAGGCGGUUAUGUAAGCGAAUAGUGAAACCUGGUGGCUCAACCACACAGACUAUUAUUCGAACUGCAUAACUUGAGAAUGGUAGAGGUAACUGGAAUUUCUUGUGUAGGAGUGAAAUCCGUAGAUAUAAGAAGGAACACCAAUGGCGUAGGCAGGUUACUGGGCCAUUUCUGACGCUAAGGCACGAAAGCGUGGGGAGCGAACCGGAUUAGAAACCCCUGUAGUCC